UGGGAUGCAGCUCAGUGGUAGAGCUCUUGCCUAGCAUGUAUGCGGUCCUGGGUUCAAUCUCCAGGACCACAA
rnacentral:tRNA from 1 species